rnacentral:lncRNA from 1 species
UGAACUUCAAACCUUCGUAUCUCGACAACCGUAACUCCGAUUGAGGUGAAACCAACGCUCACGUCUUCGUCUCGUCGAACUCUUUCCAUUGGUAUCAUUUUCAUUAUGUUUUCACACAGUGAAAAUGACCACUUUGCCCUUGCCCGUAAACAGCCCCCUCCGAGAGAGAACUGUUUCCGGCAAAUCUUUCCGCGAUCGUUCCACACUUUCUCCGGAGUAAUCCUCGACCCCCAGGCAAGCCAACCUCUUAUCAUGAGCCCCAAACUUGCACGUUGACUUUGCUUGCACCUCGCGUGUGUGCUUAGUUGCAGUAGUUUCUUGUCUGUUUCGUCUGCUAUUAUUUCAGUCGUGCUAAAUAGCUUUGUUAUCUGCCUUGCAUGCUUGAAUUUUCAUUAAAUAAAUUGCCAUGCUAGUCUAAUGUUGUUACUGAUAAUAUCAUGCCUCUGUUUAGUUUCAUGUUAGUACUAUCGUUGUUAUGUUGCACUGAUAUGAUUGCUAGUACUUGGUAUUGCCAUCUUUCAUAGGAUAUCACAGGUACUUGAAAUGCUUGAUGUUUUGUUACUGCAUUGGUAGGUUGCAUGUUAGUUGUUGCAUUCCUGUUAAUAAUGCUUGCAUGAUGAUUGAUGAUGGGGAAUUUAAUAAUAUGACUUAAUAACAAACCUCCUCCGUCAUCACUGGGAUAUCAUAGUGCCACUCCAAUCGAGCUUUCUCUAGUGCAACCACGCUUACCUAAUGGGAAGGUCCUAGCUGGGUCUAUUGUCAUGCCUCUCGCCGGUGCCUCCCGCGAGGGAAGGUUAUGGGCGCGCGCUACCCUGAUCAGGUAGGCGGACAUAACGUUGUGUGCUCGUUUUUGUUUUUAUGGUACCUUGUCCCCGUCUGGGACCGUUUUGCCACGACGGUGGCCGUUGGUGUCUUUGGUAGACACGGGGCCACCCAGGACUGAACCCCAAGGGGGUGUUGGUCGGAGUGGCCGGGAGAGCGUCAUGGUAGUAGCUCGGUUUUGUCGGAACGCCGUGUCCGCACGUAUGGGAGUGCGAGGCCAUGGGUUUUGUGGUGUGGGUACAGUGCGCUACCUCUGCAGAGUGUAUUCAAUCUAUCGAUCGCCGCGUCCUCGGUCAUGGGCAAAAGUUCGUAGUAGGUCACACUAUCCGGUCUCAGUAGAAAUGGAGGAUAAACCUUAAAUAACUAAGUGGAUGAAUAAUGUGAAAUAAUGUGAUGACUUGGACUGUGAGACAGUCGUGAGUAAUCACGAUGAUGAGUUGGUAUGAUCACAAGACAAGGUCUCCGUGAGUAUUGAACCAAGUGUGGUUCCGUUGGUGAUCCGUGCAUGAUCAUCGCUUGGUUGCGAGGAAACCCGCUAGUAAGAGAGUCCGAGGGACUCGGUGCACAUUUUGUUUGCAUUGCAUGAGUAGUAAGUCGUUAUUUGCAUUUAAAGAACUAUGGUAGAAUAGUAGAUGAUUGCAUAAAGUUAACAUGUUAUGUUUGCAUCGGAUAUGACUGGUAGUUUAUUUUCAGCAUAGUUUCAUGAUGCCAUGCCAUGCUUUGACUGAAUUUAUGCCAUGCUUUGGUAUGCCAUGUUUUGAUAUGUUAUGCUUUGCCGUAGCCAUGUUAGAAGUAAGUUUGAUAUGCCAUUGCCAUGCUUAGUUUCUGCCAAGAGGUAGGUUGUUUCAUACGCUUGGUUCUUGCGUUGUCAUCUGUUUGUUUGGAUGCUAUGUUUUUGGUUGUCUUGCAAGUACAUUCAAUGUACUGACCUGGCGUGUCAUGCCAGUUUUGUAGGUCGUACCGAAUUGUUCGCUUGAUCCGUCGUGCUAGGCCGUAAUCUUGCCAGUCCUGUGAGUUGUGGAGCCCAGCCUAGAUGAGAUGCUGCCAAACCAAGACUUCCGCCGCCAUUUAAAUAGACUUCCGCUGCCAUCCGUAUAGCCUUAGGGCUAUGCCAGAUAAUAGUAUUCAUCCAUGAUGUAAUCAUAUACGCAUGUAUUUGAUGAAUAUUAUUGUACCUGGAAUGUUG